UGGGGAAUCUUCCGCAAUGGACGAAAGUCUGACGGAGCAACGCCGCGUGAGUGAAGACGGCCUUCGGGUUGUAAAGCUCUGUGAUCCGGGACGAAAGAGCCUGAGGUAAAUAGCCUAAGGAAGUGACGGUACCGGAAAAGCAAGCCACGGCUAACUACGUGCCAGCAGCCGCGGUAAUACGUAGGUGGCAAGCGUUGACCGGAAUUAUUGGGCGUAAAGCGCGCGCAGGCGGCUUACUAAGUCCAUCUUAAAAGUGCGGGGCUUAACCCCGUGAUGGGAUGGAAACUGGAAAGCUGGAGUAUCGGAGAGGAAAGUGGAAUUCCUAGUGUAGCGGUGAAAUGCGUAGAGAUUAGGAAGAACACCGGUGGCGAAGGCGACUUUCUGGACGAAAACUGACGCUGAGGCGCGAAAGCGUGGGGAGCAAACAGG
rnacentral:rRNA from 1 species